AGUACCAGCAUCCCUGCUCGAGACUUAGUCGCCUUCUCUCUGACCUCGAUCGAAUCAAGCGGCAACAAAUAAAAGAAGGCUGUAAUCUUUAUUAUGCCUUCGAAAUGAGUAUCAUCUCGAUUCUCUAACAUCGCCGCCUCUCGUCGGAUGGAGAGCCAAGCCAAUAGCCGGGCAUAGCAACUGACGAUUGAGACCCCCGCC
rnacentral:lncRNA from 1 species